UCAGGAAGCCGGUGAAAAUCCGGCACAGCCCCGCUACGGUUAGGAUGACGACGGAGACACACCGCCUCUGACUUCGGUCGGAAAGGCGUCUCCUAGGUUGAAUCCAAGUCCGGAUACUG
rfam:Dethiosulfovibrio peptidovorans DSM 11002 ctg1, whole genome shotgun sequence.